UGUUUCACAAGUUCAGAUUUGGCCUGAAGAAGCUCUUAGUCCUUUACUGAACUUACUUAAAUAUAUGCUACAUGACAAUUUCUACAGCUUUAUGAAUGGGCCUGGCUUUUUGCAGAUAAAUAGGGUAUGUUUGACAAGGAACUUGCUGCUUAAUAAUCACAAGUCACUAUUCAUAGUAUCCAUGAUAUCCGCAACAGCAUUUGAAUGAGUAGGCUACCCUGAGCUAGAGGAAAGACAGAUGAAGCACAUGAGUGUGCCUCAGGGCCAACUUAAAUAAAUGGCUUAUUAAAAAGGUACCUUUCACUUCUGAUUGCUGCUCAAAUUCAACCAGUAAAUUUACUGAUGCAAGACAAAUGGAAAAAAUAGCUUUGCCUGCCUGAAGAAAGAUAUAAUUAACAACAACGACAAAAAUUAAAAAAAAAAAAAAGAUAUAACCUAACAUCUCCUUCCUCCUCAUUAAGUGGGGAAGGGUCCAGCCUUCAGAAAACAUUUUGUUAAGCUCUUCAGGAUAGUAAGAAGAUGACCUGAUACGUUUGGGGCUCAGGAUACAGCUAGAUGGCAAAUUCAUGGUGUGAUCCUCUAUCUGAGGUCCAGUGCCAAUGGCCAAUAGCUCUAUUCAACCUAUGUUUCUCCACAAUUCAGUUAGUAAGUGUUCCAGGCAAGGAGAAGAGGAGGGAAGAAAGGGAGUCAAAUUACUUCAAGCAACUAGUAUUUGUGCACCAGUUGUACAUGAACACUUUAAAUCACACUUGGCUUGCUAAUCCAAAUCUGAAAUUUCAAAUAACCGCUAAAGCUAUACAUGUAUUUUUUACUUAUAACACUAAAAUGCAUUGAAAACACAGAACUCUCCAAAAUACAUGGCAAUACGUGGA
rnacentral:lncRNA from 1 species